rnacentral:rRNA from 1 species
AGGUUGAGUAACAUCAACUGGAGGACCGAACCGACUAAUGUUGAAAAAUUAGCGGAUGACUUGUGGCUAGGGGUGAAAGGCCAAUCAAACCUGGAGAUAGCUGGUUCUCCCCGAAAGCUAUUUAGGUAGCGCCUCGGACGAAUACUACUGGGGGUAGAGCACUGUUAAGGCUAGGGGGUCAUCCCGACUUACCAACCCUUUGCAAACUCCGAAUACCAGUAAGUACUAUCCGGGAGACACACGGCGGGUGCUAACGUCCGUCGUGGAGAGGGAAACAACCCAGACCGCCAGCUAAGGUCCCAAAUUACUACUAAGUGGGAAACGAUGUGGGAAGGCUCAGACAGCCAGGAUGUUGGCUUAGAAGCAGCCAUCAUUUAAAGAAAGCGUAAUAGCUCACUGGUCGAGUCGGCCUGCGCGGAAGAUGUAACGGGGCUAAGUAGUAAACCGAAGCUGCGGCAAUGUGCUUUUGCACAUUGGGUAGGGGAGCGUUCUGUAAGCGGUUGAAGGUGUGUGGUAACGCAUGCUGGACGUAUCAGAAGUGCGAAUGCUGACAUGAGUAACGAUAAAGGGGGUGAAAAACCUCCUCGCCGGAAGACCAAGGGUUCCUGUCCAACGUUAAUCGGGGCAGGGUAAGUCGACCCCUAAGGCGAGGCCGAAAGGCGUAGUCGAUGGGAAACGGGUUAAUAUUCCCGUACUUCUUACAAUUGCGAUGGGGGGACGGAGAAGGCUAGGUGGGCCUGGCGACGGUUGUCCAGGUUCAAGUGCGUAGGCUUGAGAGUUAGGUAAAUCCGGCUCUUUUUAAGGCUGAGACACGACGUCGAGCACCUACGGGUGUGAAGUCAUUGAUGCCAUGCUUCCAGGAAAAGCCUCUAAGCUUCAGAUUGUAAGGAAUCGUACCCCAAACCGACACAGGUGGUCGGGUAGAGAAUACCAAGGCGCUUGAGAGAACUCGGGUGAAGGAACUAGGCAAAAUGGUACCGUAACUUCGGGAGAAGGUACGCUCUCGACGGUGAAGUCCCUCGCGGAUGGAGCUAUUGAGAGUCGCAGAUACCAGGUGGCUGCAACUGUUUAUUAAAAACACAGCACUGUGCAAAAUCGUAAGAUGACGUAUACGGUGUGACGCCUGCCCGGUGCCGGAAGGUUAAUUGAUGGGGUUAGACUUCGGUCGAAGCUCUUGAUCGAAGCCCCGGUAAACGGCGGCCGUAACUAUAACGGUCCUAAGGUAGCGAAAUUCCUUGUCGGGUAAGUUCCGACCUGCACGAAUGGCGUAAUGAUGGCCACGCUGUCUCCACCCGAGACUCAGUGAAAUUGAAAUCGCUGUGAAGAUGCAGUGUACCCGCGGCUAGACGGAAAGACCCCGUGAACCUUUACUACAGCUUGGCACUGAACAUUGACCCUACAUGUGUAGGAUAGGUGGGAGGCUUU